ACAAGGUAACCCCCAAAACAUUUCUUUUAAAUUAUGUUAAUAGGCUAAUUAAUGGAUUUAUUACCUAAUUAAUUUAUUAAUGGCCAAUUAAACCACCAAUUGCACCCAAAAAAUACACAAAAAGCCGAUCACAUUUUCUCCCAAAGGGACUGGCCAUGCACUAUAUAUUCAACCUCAUUUCCUCUAAAAACCUAGGUCUUGACUCUUGCUAAACACUCAAAAAUUCCCCAACACUUUUCUCUCAAAAUUCUAAC
rnacentral:lncRNA from 1 species